rnacentral:tRNA from 1 species
GAGUGUUUAGCUCAAUGGUAGAGCGCUACCUUGAUGAGGUAGAGGUUGUGGGUUCGAUUCCCACAAUGCUCACAA